rnacentral:lncRNA from 1 species
UGCAGUCCAAUAAAAAAAAACAGAACCUAAUUUCCUAAAUCACACUACUUAACAAACCCUAAUUUUACACCAUCUAUCUCUAACCUUUGAUCGACACCUCCGGCAUCACCGUCGAUCUACAACCCUUGACCACCGCAAUCGCCGCACGAACGUACAAACCGCCACCUCCAAGCGACCUAACCGCCACCACCGGGCGACCGCUGCGCUCGAUUGCCACCACCGCCGCACUUGUUCAGAGAAGACGCAUCACCUCCCCGCAGUCCACAGAAGACGCAAGGUGAAACGAAAACGAAAGGCGAAACGCUAAAGGUCAGUUUAUUUCAUUAAUUUUCCCAUUCAGAAGUAUAGCGUUUUAGGUUAAAACGAAAACCCACAGGACUCGCGAGUUUGAGCGAGUUAACCGAGUUCAGUCCGAGUCUAGUCCGAGUCUGCUGAGUUUACUAAAUAGUUGAGUUUACUACCGAGUUAACUCGACAAAAGUAUGCGAAAAUCUGAUAAGGCUAUGCAAAAACCUGAACUCGGAUGAAUCAACUAGAGUUGACUCGCUAGUUUCACAAUCAUGCUGCUAACAUUUUCCAACAAGAGUAAACAGUCAUUGACACCUUUUAUUCAGCUAUUGUCUAUUUCAAGACUACAAUAUCUUUCAAAUCUUAUAUAGUACAUUUAUUUUAUGUUUUUAAUUUUUAUAAAAACAAUUCUUAGAUUCUCAGUUUUAAUCAAACAAAAAUUUGGUGUGAGUUUCUAAUAAUAUUUUUAAUUUUACAAAACUAUUCGAUUAUUCAUAUAUUAUAAGAUAUUUAUGUAAUUUUUAACUAAAUUAAAAAUAUUGUGUAAUUUUUAUAACAUAAAAUUAAAAUUAUUUAUACAGUAAUAAAUUUAUGUAAGUUGUAAACCAAUUUAAACUAAAGAACAUGAUUGAUUAUAGUUGAUAAGAUGAUCUCAAGCAUCUAGUUUCGUAAAAAAAUUGUUUGUUUCUAAUUUUGUUAUUUAUGGUGUAAUAAAAGAUCUUGAAGAUUAUUUUAUAUUUGUGGAUAUAUACUUUUUUUUCUUUUGUAACUUUUAAAUAAAAUUAUAUAAAAAAUAUUAUUUAAAAUAUAAAUUUAAAUAAAAAUCUAAAUAAAUUUGUAUUAUUAAUUGUAGUACAAAUAAGAUCAGAUGUCAAAAAGAUAAAUUUAAAUAAAUUAGGCAGCAGAAUAUAAAUUUAAACAAAAUUAAUCAUUUAAAAAUAACUAUAAUUUCAUAAUUUUAAAUAAAAAUAAUAAUUAAAUUUUAAAUAAAUUAUUCUUCAAUUAUUAAUAUUUUAGUCACUUGAUUCUUAAAAAUUUAACUAAAAGUUAAUAACAAGUAUGAAGAUUCUACCAUUCCUACGUUCUUAGUUCACUUUAUAAGAGUGUUGAAAAAUUUAAAUCUUUAUAUUUUAGAAACAUGUCUUGAAUUUCAGUUCAGAAUAUAUUUCUCAUCAGAAAACAUAUUUUAGUCUUAAAUAUAUUUUCGAAUCCAAAAAUAUAUUUUAAAGUUUUAUAUAAUAUAAUUAAAAAUGUAUGUUUAGAUGUGUAAAAAUGUAUUUUAAAUUAUAUAAUACAUAAUAUAUAUAUAUAUAUAUAUAUAUAUAUAUUUUGAUAGAUAUAGAUUAAGCAUACAUAUACGUAUUCUGAUCUGUUUAUGUUAUCUAAAAUAGAAAACUGUGGAAAAUGAAUUUUCUUAACACACUUUCAUUGUGGAACAAUUACUAAGAAACAACUAACCAAUAUUCAAUACAAGGAAAUUGAAAUUUUGUCACUACCUCUUGUUGAAAACAAAUAUAGAGAUCAAACAAUUUUUACAUAUUUAAUUAUUGAAACAAAUUUUUUGAGAGAAUUUGUCUUGGUUUGGUUGGGUAUGUGAUAAAUUUAUCUUGUCGUUUGUUUUCAUUGAAUAGAGUCUUUUGAUGGAUAUCAAUGCAAAACUAAAACCUCAAAAUUGAAAGCAAGUUUUAGUGUUUUUAUGCCACAAUUAGCUGUGUUGUGCAAUGCAUCGUGGCUAAAGAACAUUUGUUGGCAUUGAAGAUGUACCAUCACACUUUUUUUCUCCUGAAACUUCCGACUCACUCUUAUAAGAACAAGAGGAAGAAAAGAUUUUGCAAGCUCUUGUUGCAAGUCUUGCUGAAACUAACUGAUCCUGCCUGUUGACCGGGACGCAAGAACCUUGCCUCGUCAAACCUGGAUUGACUUCUGCGCCGUAUUAGCCUCCGUCCUUCACCGCGAUUCACCUCAAGAACCUGCAAAAGACAGAACGGCGCCGCUGCGGCCGAUCACGCUCCGACGCCCAAGUCAGCGACUGAACCACCAAAUACUAAGAGAAAACUCAAGAACUCUAAGGAACCGUGCAAAAUUCUCUCUCAGCGUACUCAAGACUCGCAAGCGUAAAGAAACAAUCUAAAACGUGCGUACCUCAGAAGUUCGUUAGAAUCUCUUAUAUACCUGUGCACUUUCUCUCUCCUGACAGUUACACAUCUGGACACGUGGCUCGCAUCCAGCUGUACACGUGUCACCAUCUGGAGCAUCCUUGACUUGGGCGCCACUUCUUACUCUUCAGGUUUUUUGGCUAAGUUACUUAUGCAUGACACAACUCAGUGCAUAGCUGCCUUGGAGCGUGAUCUCUUCUGAGUGGCGAGUUCGGGUGCCUUCGUACACACCUUCCCUGUGGUCUCGCCGGUCGCCUUCAUGAUCUACUUUACUUGCUUCACCGUGUAUGUUCAGGUAAGCUGUCUCCCGACCUCAUCCUCUGGCUAGCUAGGAAACGACUAUCUGACUUCAUCUUCGGCGAUGUCCUUGUUUCGGCGAUCUCUGGCCACCACGUGGUCUUGGGUUCGCAUCUGGCGACUUCAUCUCACACCCGGUGACCGCCGGUUUAGGUAUGCUAGAGACCGGGGCACGCCAACUUAAUAACUGGCGACCACACGAGCCCCCCGACUUCCUUCCCUUCUGCCAGCCAUGGGCCCUGCUCAACACGCCUACAUAAUAGCUCGAUGCCACGUCAUCACUUCCG